AAUACAGGAGGUUGGAGGUUGCAGUGAGCUGAGAUUGCACCGCUGUACUCCAGCCUAGGCAACAGAGUGAGUGAGACCCAGCUCAAUAGAAAAAGAAAAAGAAAAAAACAGUUAUUUUCCUUAAUCUCUUUGUGUUAACUUCCUAGUGGAAUUUUGAGAAGUCCUUUAUUUGACAUUAAAAAGGGAAGAUGAUUUUAAUGGCACAUUAAUUCAUUGUACAAGAAACACUUGUGAAACAUCUACUCGGCACCAGGAGUUGUCAGGCUGGUGGGGGGAGGCAGGCACGGCAUUGCAAGACCAUGUGAUAGGUCAAGACAAUGCAAUGAUAGGUCAAGACAGUGCGAUAGGUCAAGACAGUGCGAUGAUAGGUCUAGACAGUGCGAUGAUAGGUCAAGACAAUGCGAUGACAGGUCAAGACAGUGCGAUGACAGGUCUAGACAGUGGGAUGAUAGGUCAAGACAGUGUGAUGACAGGUCAAGACAGUGCGAUGAUGGGUCAAGACGAUGUGAUGAUAGGUCAAGACAACGCAAUAGGUCAAGACAAUAUGAUAGGCUCCACGGACGGAGGACAAGCGCUAGAGGGUCAGGAUGGAAAGACAGGAUCGUGAUGCAGGGAGAGACUGGUAGAGAACACAGAUUUUUGCAGUAGAUCAGAUGGUAGAGAAUGCACCUGAAGAUUUAAAGCAGUGACAGUUGAAACAGAGAGGAGAGAAUUAGGAAGAGAGAGAAAGAUUGGUGCCUAGUUGGGAUGGAGCAAUUGGCUCAGGGGACUGGGAUAAUUCAGGUUUUUGUCACAAAUGGGUGUUGGUGCCACCAACUAAGACAAGGAGUUUUUUUAAAGUAGUUUAGGAGAUGCUAUGGUGCCCCUCACCCGCAAAUUCCUAUGUUAAAAUCCUAAGCGCCCCUGCCAGGUGAUAGCAUUAGAGGGGCCUUUGAAGGUGCUUAGGUCUUAAGGUCCCCAGCUAGACCCCUUGUCCCUUCUACCAUGUGAGGACACAACUAGAUUAUGCUAUCUGCCCAGGCGUGGCGGCUCAGCCAAGAAAUAAAUUUCUUUUGUUCACACUCUACCCAGUAUAUGGCAUUUUCAAAUAGCAGCCCAAACAGACUGAGACAGGCAAGGUUGAUGAGGUCAGCUUUUGUCCAGUUGAGUUUGAAGUACUCAUGGAAAACUUAGUGAAAUAACAAGUAGGACAUUUGGUAUAUACAUCCAAAGCUGAGGCCUGCAAAUACAGAUUCAGUAGUCAUAAAGGUAGUUUUGAAAGCAUAAUAACGGAGGAUAUUACCAAAGGAUACUUGAGGGAUAAAAUGAAAAGAAGGGCAAGGAUGGAACCUGGGGGAAUAUUGACAUUUAACGGGAAGGAAAUGGAAGAGCAUCCCAUAAAGAUGGAUGAGAAAGGAAUGCUCUGAGAGCUAGAAGGAGGAUCGGGAUGCUUGGGAGUCACAAAGUCCCAGGAAAGUGAGAAAAAUAAGGAAGAAACUGUCACCAAUAACAGCAACAGAGUUUCAGGAACACAGAACUGAAAAGGUCCUGUGGGAAUGAGUGAUAAGGUCACUGGUGACUCAUUUUCACCAUGAAAACAAGUGACAUGGUGGAGGUAGAAGCCAGUUUGUAGUAUCCUUUAUGCUUGGCUAUGGAAGGAAGGAAAAGAAUCGGAUCAGAAGGAGACUCAGAGUGGAAGGGAGAAGCUGUCGCAAGAUUUCUCAUCUCUGUGGAAAAGUUCAUGUUCUGAUGCAUCUUCUCUGUUCCAAAUGCAGAGCAGCGGCAGAUAAAAUACAAAGAGAGAAAGUCAAAGUGAUAUAGCUGGACUCGUGGAUCAAAACCUCGAAAGGAUGAGGGUAGCCUGGAUUGGGUGGACUCCGGGUCUGGGGGGCAGGCAGGUAUUGAUGUAGGUCUUUUAUGCCAAUAGGACUAAAAGUACUCAAUGCAAACGGGGGGACCACAGCCAGGCUCACUGUUGGAAAAAAGAGGCUGACGUAGGGCCCCCCCACCCUCUUUUCAUUCUUUCAGGUGAAAGGAACCUGAAAAGAAUCCCUUAUGAAAUAAACUAAGAUUAGUUUCAUGACAGUGGCUUACGGCACUAGCUUUGCUUUUGGGAGGCAUCUGUAAAACCUGGAGAUUGGUGUGAGGAGUCAGGGAGUGGAGGUGGAAAUAAACAGAGCAGCAAUAGCAACAAUAACAGCAAAGCCGCCCCCUCAAAACAACCCCACAAAUCAAAGCUAAUAAGGACAGCCAAGGUAUCAACAGUCAGAAUGUAAAUUCACUGCCAAAGAAAAUAACUUCAUAGAUAGACCUGAUUAAAAUAGUAUAGUUGGGCUGCUCAGACGGGAAAGUAAACAAAUAAUGUUCAUUUUAAAAGAAUAAGAAGUUAGGAAACAAAAAAGAAAUAAGAACACAAGGUUUGAAAAAGAACCAGUUUGAAAACUUGGGGACUGAAUCAUUGAAAUCUGAGCGGAUAAGAUAAACUAGGCUAGAUACAGCUGAGGAGAUAAUUAGUGAAUUGGAAGAUAUUAAUAGUAUUGUGAAAUACAAUCCAUUUCAUAGCACAGAAAUAUAAAGAAUGUUUAUAAUAAAUAAUUAAAUUGGGAAAGAAUGAGUUGCCACGUGGUUAACUCAUAGGAGCAGAAAAAUACUAGGUUGGUGCAAAAGUAAUUAUGGUUUUUGCCAUUACUUUUAAUCCAAUUACUUUUGCACCAGCCAUACAAUAGAGAAAUGGCAGAAAAGCAAUACUUGAAACAAUAAAGGCUGAGAAUUUUCUAGAAUUGAAGAGAGACACAAAUUCUUACAUCAAAGUAUAUUUGAGUAAUAACAGUAAUGGUAAACAUCUUACUUAGCCCUUAUGUUCCAGGCAAUAUUCUAUAUGCUUUCUUUUUUAA